GAGGCGUGGCUUCCGGAGCUAACGCGUUAAGUCGACCGCCUGGGGAGUACGGCCGCAAGGUUAAAACUCAAAUGAAUUGACGGGGGCCCGCACAAGCGGUGGAGCAUGUGGUUUAAUUCGAUGCAACGCGAAGAACCUUACCUGGCCUUGACAUCCACAGAAGUUUGCAGAGAUGCGAAUGUGCCUUCGGGAACUGUGAGACAGGUGCUGCAUGGCUGUCGUCAGCUCGUGUUGUGAAAUGUUGGGUUAAGUCCCGCAACGAGCGCAACCCUUAUCCUUUGUUGCCAGCGAUUCGGUCGGGAACUCAAAGGAGACUGCCGGUGAUAAACCGGAGGAAGGUGGGGAUGACGUCAAGUCAUCAUGGCCCUUACGGCCAGGGCUACACACGUGCUACAAUGGCGCAUACAAAGAGAAGCGACCUCGCGAGAGCAAGCGGACCUCAUAAAGUGCGUCGUAGUCCGGAUCGGAGUCUGCAACUCGACUCCGUGAAGUCGGAAUCGCUAGUAAUCGUAGAUCAGAAUGCUACGGUGAAUACGUUCCCGGGCCUUG
rnacentral:rRNA from 1 species